rnacentral:rRNA from 1 species
UACGGAGGGGGCUAGCGUUGUUCGGAAUUACUGGGCGUAAAGCGCACGUAGGCGGCUUUGUAAGUUAGAGGUGAAAGCCCGGGGCUCAACUCCGGAAUUGCCUUUAAGACUGCAUCGCUAGAAUUGUGGAGAGGUAAGUGGAAUUCCGAGUGUAGUGGUGAAAUGCGCAGAUAUCGGGAGGAACACCAGUGGCGAAGGCGGCAUCCUGGCCCUGUCCUGACGCUCAGGGGCGAAAGCGUGGGGAGCAAACCGG